CUAAGGCUGAUGGCGACCGGCGCACGGGUGAGUAACACGUAUCCAACCUGCCGAUGACUCGGGGAUAGCCUUUCGAAAGAAAGAUUAAUACCCGAUGGCAUAGUUCUUCCGCAUGGUGGAACUAUUAAAGAAUUUCGGUCAUCGAUGGGGAUGCGUUCCAUUAGGUUGUUGGCGGGGUAACGGCCCACCAAGCCUUCGAUGGAUAGGGGUUCUGAGAGGAAAGUCCCCCACAUUGGAACUGAGACACGGUCCAAACUCCUACGGGAGGCAGCAUG
rnacentral:rRNA from 1 species